CCUACGGGUGGCAGCAGUGAGGAAUAUUGGUCAAUGGACGCAAGUCUGAACCAGCCAUGCAGCGUGCAGGAAGACGGCCCUAUGGGUUGUAAACUUCUUUUGUACGAGAGUAAACCCAGAUACGCGUGCCUUUCUGCAAGUAUCUUACGAAUAAGGAUCGGCUAACUCCGUGCCAGCAGCCGCGGUAAUACGGAGGAUUCAAGCGUUAUCCGGAUUUAUUGGGUUUAAAGGGUGCGUAGGCGGUCGGAUAAGUUAGAGGUGAAAUCCUGAGGCUCAACUGCGGAAUUGCCUCUGAUACUGUCAGGCUAGAGUGUAGUUGAGGUAGGCGGAAUGCAUGGUGUAGCGGUGAAAUGCUUAGAGAUCAUAAAGAACACCGAUUGCGAAGGCAGCUUACCAAGCUACGUCUGACGUUGAGGCACGAAAGCGUGGGGAGCAAACAGGAUUAGAUACCCGGGUAGUC
rnacentral:rRNA from 1 species